AGGUGUGAACAUACCAGCACUAAUGCAGCAGAUCCAUACAGAACUCCGCAGAGAAGCCUGCUUGGGUGAUAGUAGUACUAGAAUGGGUGAUCUACUGGGAACUCCUCGUGUUGCACCUA
rfam:Lupinus angustifolius cultivar Tanjil contig_1834, whole genome shotgun sequence.